UAAAAUAAAGAGUGCUUUUAUAGAUUUUAAAUUUGAUUAUGGUUUAUAAAUUGUUAAAAUAGUAUUAUUUAAUUUUAAUUUAUUAAGUAGGCAAUAAAUAUUUACCUCGGUAAUUAAUUGUUUGUAUAAUACUUGUUCCAGAAUAAUCGGCUAGCCUGGUAAAAUUUAAACUUUUAUUUGAGUUAUAUUAAUAGUUUUGGCGCAUAAAUUUAAAAAAUCUUAAGGGUAAAUUUUGGAUUUUUUUUAAAGGGGAACCUAUGAGCUUACAUUCUGAUAAGCGAGUUAGAUUAGGGACCUAACUCGACCAGAAAUUAAUACGAGCCGAUGUAAGUAGUCAUCUCAACUCUAAGAGUAUUCGCGGCAUUUGCUAAUUAAGCUGUUGAGGGGGAGUGUUAAUUGAGAACCCCCUCUAAAACCUCUUAAAUUAGUGUCACAUAUGAUAUCGUUUUUUUUGCUUAAGGUAUAUAUUAUGAAAAUUUUAUUUUUUAUAAAAGAGAUAUAUUUGGUCUAUGUGGGGGUGUAAUUUGACCUACACUAAUUAAAGUUGUGGAUUGGUGUUUAAGUUAACACACAGAAAAUGUAAAAGACACUAUAAAAAAUUUUAUGAUUUUUUGAAGGGUACAUAGGGAUGGGGCACAUCAUCCACCACAAGCCCAAAGGGGAGUAAGUUGUAGUAAAGUAGAUUUAGGGGAACCUAAAUCUAGUAAUU
rnacentral:ncRNA from 1 species